UACGUAGGGAGCAAGCGUUGUCCGGAAUCAUUGGGCGUAAAGCGCGCGUAGGCGGCCCGGUAAGUCCGUUGUAAAAGUCGAAGGCUCAACCUUCGAAAGCCGAUGGAUACUGCCGGGCUAGAGUUCGGAAGAGGCGAGUGGAAUUCCUGGUGUAGCGGUGGAAUGCGCAGAUAUCAGGAGGAACACCGGUGGCGAAGGCGGGUCUCUGGGCCGUAACUGACGCUGAGGAGCGAAAGCAUGGGGAGCGAACAGG
rnacentral:rRNA from 1 species